rnacentral:misc_RNA from 1 species
GAUGAAGAACGUAGCGAAAUGCGAUAAGUAAUGCGAAUUGCAGAAUUCAGUGAAUCAUCGAAUCUUUGAACGCACAUUGCGCCCGCCAGUAUUCUGGCGGGCAUGCCUGUUCGAGCGUCAUUUCAACCAUCAAGCCCCCGGCUUGUGUUGGGGACCUGCGGCUGCCGCAGGCCCUGAAAACCAGUGGCGGGCUCGCUAGUCACUCCGAGCGUAGUAAUACAUCUCGCUCAGGGCGUGCUGCGGGUUCCGGCCGUUAAAAAGCCUUAUUUACCCAAGGUUGACCUCGGAUCAGGUAGGAAGACCCGCUGAACUUAAGCAUAUCAAUAAGCGGAGGA